rnacentral:rRNA from 2 species
AGGUGUGCUAAUACCGGAUACGCUGAGAAAUCAGGAAAGGUGGCCUCUUCAUGAAAGCUACUGUAUCAGGAGGAGCUUGCGUACCAUUAGCUAGUUGGUGGGGUAAUGGCCUACCAAGGCAACGAUGGUUAGCGGGUCUGAGAGGAUGAUCCGCCACACUGGAACUGGAACACGGACCAGACUCCUACGGGAGGCAGCAGUGAGGAAUAUUGCGCAAUGGGGGCAACCCUGACGCAGCGACGCCGCGUGGAUGAUGAAGGCCUUCGGGUCGUAAAAUCCUGUCAGAUGGAAAGAAAUGUCAUAUGCCUAAUAUGUGUAUGAUUUGACGGUACCAUCAAAGGAAGCACCGGCUAACUCCGUGCCAGCAGCCGCGGUAAUACGGAGGGUGCAAGCGUUGUUCGGAAUUACUGGGCGUAAAGCGCGCGUAGGCGGCUUUUUAAGUCAGAUGUGAAAGUCCACGGCUCAACCGUGGAAGUGCAUUUGAUACUGGGAAGCUUGAGUACUGGAGGGGAUGGUGGAAUUCCCGG